rnacentral:rRNA from 1 species
CCCUUAGAUGUUCUGGGCUGCACGCGCGCUACACUGAAGCGUUCAACGAGUAUUCACCUUGCCCGGGAGGGUUGGGUAAUCUUUUCAAAACGCUUCGUGAUGGGGAUAGAUUAUUGCAAUUAUUAAUCUUCAACGAGGAAUUCCUAGUAAGCGCGAGUCAUCAGCUCGUGCUGAUUACGUCCCUGCCCUUUGUACACACCGCCCGCCGCUCCUACCGAUUGAGUGAUCCGGUGAAUAAUUCGGACUGCAGCAGGCCUGGUCUCCGGGUUUUGCAGCGGAAAGUUUAGUGAACCUUAUCACUUAGAGGAAGGAGAAGUCGUAACA